rnacentral:lncRNA from 1 species
AUGUUGAGGGGAUGUUUUAAAAAUAAGCAUAAUGUUGGCACUGUAAAAAUUCAAUUUUAUUCCCAGGCCAAGAUGAUCCUUCAUCACUGUUUUCUCAUUGGAAGAAUGAUUCUCCUUCAUUUGGAAGCAACUGGCAGAUGUUCCCUGCUGAGCUGGCUCUUGGGUUUCAUGGAAUGCUGUGGUGUUGAAAUUCCAUUGUGUAGAAUGUCUUUCCUCACUCUUUCCACCCCCUGCCCCAGAAAUUGCCUCUACUUCCCCACUCCCAUUCAAAAGGAGGUGUGGGGAGACGUGUUGAGGAGGAAGUUGCUGCAGAGCUCUGGUUGCUCGUAGAGAACCUUCAGCUUGUGGCCUCUCAUUGCAGACUGCUCUGAGCACACUCUUUAGAGGCCUGGGCCAACGUAGUCAGAAGGCUGUAGGAAUGAGUUCCACCAACACUUCCAAUUACUUCCCAGACCGAUUGUGGAAUGACUUAGACUUGGGAAAAUAUGAGGGAAUUCAAUAGCCCAUGAGUGGUUGUAUGGAGUUUACAACUUUCAGAAAGAUAACCUGAGGAAAGAAGACGAAGCAAUAGAAAAUGAUCUUUAUUCCUAUAGGUAGAUGGUGAAUGGGUCACUGGUUCAGGCAAGGAAGUAAUUCUGGACAGAACUUACCCAGUGUGUGAUUUAUCACUGUCAGAAAUAAAAAAUUGCCUUUGCAUUUAUCAUUCUACCUCCUUAUUCUAUCGGCUAAAUUCACACUCUCUUUUUUGCACUUUCCACUGCUUGCUUUAUACAAACUAUAGUGGCUAAGCAUUUUCCUCUAUGCUGACCUCCAGUAAGUUGAGAAUAUACAUGGCAGUUGGGAUAGAAAAACACACAAUUCCAUAUAAGCUAGCAAUAUCUGCGUAUCUCAGCAUCUUUGCAGUGACAUUGAGCUACUGAAGUACUUGUCUUUGUUCACAAAGCUGUUGAUUCCUUGCCAGAAGGACAUUCCACCACAUUAAUCCCACUGAUGACCUGUCUGUGUAGAUGGAUUUUUAAUCCAUUGAUUUUUUUUUAAAAAAACUACCCAAUAGCUCUAUUGAUAACCAUUAUAUAAUUCUAUAUUUCCUAGCUUUUAGCAACAGAGUUCACAUUCUUUAAGAUGUACUAAAACCAGAAAAAAACCUAAUAUUCUUUAUUAUAAUUUCCAAUAUAUCUAGUUUCCUAAUAAUUUUAUAAGUUAAGAACACUCAUAUGUGUAACAACUUUCAAGAUCUAAACACAUUAAUUAAGCAAUGAAAAUAAUCGCAUUUAAUAAACUGUUCAUGGUAAGUAUUUAGAUCCUUGUAAAGCUCAGAUUAACUGCUGAAACAAGUUUAUGCUUUAUCAAACAAGAUUAUCCUUAAGCAGUACACUCUAACUGUCAGACAUUAUGAAACAUUUACUCUUAACUAUGUCUGUUUGAUGGAUGUUGCUUAUGGCCUAUGUAU